UAUUUGAUCGAAACAAACAGCCGUCCUCUAAAUUCAUACUAGCUAGUAGCUGCUUGCUGCCCCAAUAUAUUAGAUGGGUGGGGGGAGUUCCCGUUCCCGAUUUAAUGCGUUUGCAGCCCGAUUGUGUUGGUUGAGAUGGCUUUAAAUCUGAUCCGGAAAUCGACGAGUUUAAUCAGUGGAGAAGGACGCUAAACAAUGCUUGUGGUGUUGAUGUGUUGGAAAAAGAAGGUUCUACUUCCCCUAGUUCGGCUCAACGUUGAAGAUGGGGAAGAAUGGCUGGCUUGGCUUGGCAUGUAGGUGUAGUAUUGAGUAGACAAUUCGAUAAUUGUGUAUAUAAAUUAUGUGGUAGACUAUGAGUUAAUUAUUUUAUGGACGUUGUAAAAUGCCCUAAAUUAUAAAAUUAGCGAGGUCUCUUGAGUCUGCAUAAUAACAAUCAAUCAAUAAUGUUGAUCU